CCUGGUGACGAUAGCGGGGUGGUACGAUCUCUUCCCAUUCCGAACAGAGUCAUCAAACGCCUCAGCGCCGACGAUAGUAGGGGGGCAACUCUCUGCGAAAAUAGGUCAUCGCCAGGA
rnacentral:rRNA from 3 species